CCCGCGGGUCCCCAGCUCCCCCAGCCCCGCCGCGGGCCGCACCUCUCUGGACGGCGCUGUCAGGAGUAGGAGUUCAGCCCCAGCGCAUCCGCGCCAGGACCCGGGCUCUGUGGCCACUGAGUGCAGAACACGCCGAGCUUCGGAGGUCUGGGAGUUCCAAGUGGAAUUUGAAUUUUUAAUCUAAUUGUCUGAUUCGUGAACUCGGAAGCUGACGUCACGCCCAGACGUCCCAAGGUAUGAGCUGUAGAUACGCACGUGAGCGCUGGUGGGAGACGCCAGGCUGGGAUUUCCGCUCGAUCUGGGAAUGAGCAAUGCAACCUAAUGACACCCAGAGCUCCUGAAUCACCCGAGGAAAAUGACGAGAGACUCCCUCCGGUGGGAACGUCUCCUAGAAACAAGGCCUAAGAUGGGGCGACAACAGCCCCACAGCUGUGUCCAGAUGCAGGGAGCACUCGCCUGUGCUGUGAGGGACGGCCGGUGUCAUCGUUGGAGCUUCCUAAGAGUCCCAGAGGCUGAUGCACCUCCCAGACUCUCCUCGGCCCGGCUCCCUGGGCCCUGCUCCAGGGGCUUCAUUGCUCCCUGCCCCGGGUCACCCCUCGGCUCACCGUCUCUCAGGUGUGGAAUAUCCUGCUCCAAUCAAAGCCAUGUCACCUGCGUUGUCCAGUGAAACAUCAGUGGACAGGCGCUGCCCGGGCUCCAGGGAGCUCCUCACUGAGGCUCACUCCCUGUGCCUCUGCCAUCAGCACAGGGGGACAUGCCUGGCUGCCUGUGGGACCAGGGAGGACGCGCGGUGCGGGAGCAGAGCCAGCCACACUGCCGCUGCUGCACUGUUCAUCUGAGUGGCGCAAGGUUAUGUGUUUCAGCUGCGAGUUUUUCAAAUUGUUGCAAAUCUUCAAACAUUUUUCCAACAAAUUUACUGAAAAAAAUCCACAUAUAAGUGGCACCCCCACCAGUUUAAACCUGUGUUGUUCAAG
rnacentral:lncRNA from 1 species